UACGUAGGUGGCAAGCGUUGUCCGGAUUUAUUGGGUUUAAAGGGUGCGUAGGCGGUUCUAUAAGUCAGUGGUGAAAUCCGGCAGCUCAACUGUCGAUGUGCCAUUGAUACUGCAGAACUUGAGUACAGACGAGGUAGGCGGAAUUGACGGUGUAGCGGUGAAAUGCUUAGAUAUCGUCAAGAACACCGAUAGCGAAGGCAGCUUACUAGACUGUAACUGACGCUGAUGCACGAA
rnacentral:rRNA from 1 species